rnacentral:rRNA from 1 species
CCUAGUAACCGGGCGGAGUGGAAGCGGCAACAGCUCAAAUUUGAAAGCUGGCUCUCGGGCCCGCAUUGUAAUUUGCAGAGGAUGCUUCUGGCGACGCGCCUUCCGAGUUUCCUGGAACGGGACGCCAUAGAGGGUGAGAGCCCCGUCCGGUCGUGCGCCUAGCCUCUGUGAAGCUCCUUUCGACGAGUCGAGUAGUUUGGGAAUGCUGCUCAAAAUGGGAGGUAUACGUCUUCUAAAGCUAAAUACCGGCCAGAGACCGAUAGCGCACAAGUAGAGUGAUCGAAAGAUGAAAAGCACUUUGAAAAGAGAGUUAAAAAGUACGUGAAAUUGUUGAAAGGGAAGCGCUCAUGACCAGACUUGGGCUGGCCCGAUCAUCCGGCGUUCUCGCCGGUGCACUCGGGCCGCCCAGGGCCAGCAUCAGCUUUCGCCGGGGGAUAAAGGCGGCGGGAAUGUGGCUCCCUCGGGAGUGUUAUAGCCCGCCGUGCAAUACCCUGGUGGGGGCUGAGGUUCGCGCGUAUGCACGGAUGCUGGCGUAAUGGUUAUCAGCGACCCGUCUUGAAACACGGACCAAGGAGUCGUCUUCGUAUGCGAGUGUUCGGGUGUCAAACCCCUACGCGGAAUGAAAGUGAACGCUGGUGAGAGCUUCGGCGCAUCACCGACCGAUCCUGAUGUUCUCGGACGGAUUUGAGUAAGAGCAUACGGGGCCGGACCCGAAAGAAGGUGAACUAUGCCUGUAUAGGGUGAAGCCAGAGGAAACUCUGGUGGAGGCUCGCAGCGGUUCUGACGUGCAAAUCGAUCGUCAAAUAUGGCAUGGGGCGAAAGAACUAAUCGGAACUUUAG